rnacentral:lncRNA from 1 species
GGAGGAAAAGGAAAAGGAGAGGAAGAUGAUGAGGAAGAACACGAUGACAAAGAGGAGGAUAAAGAAAUAUCACCCCUCUUCUCCCAGUAGCUAUCAUCUGACAGUAACUCCUCAGUGUGGAAUGGGGUCUGAAGAGCUCCUCCCCAUCUGGAAUUGUGGCUGGCUUGAUCUGUGCAGGUCUUAUUCAGGAAGAAGCCUGAGAAAAUAGAAGCUCUCUGCAUCCUGCCCAGAAGGUCAAGGAUACACUUGGCAUCAUCAGCUUCACAUUCCUCAGAGGAGGACCCUCCACUGAGAAUGCAAAGAAUGGCUUUGGGUCUUGAUGAAGCCCCCGCUGAAGGGGCUGCAUUUCCACUGGACCACAGCAAGGCAGGAUUCAGGAGCUUCAGAACUAUCCACUUUGAUGUUACUCAGAUGUUAUCCAGAGUCUCUGUUGAUGUGGGCCAACUGCCCCACAUUCCAUUAGGUGAGAAAAACCCAUUCAAAGCUGCAAGCAAAAUGUGCUACAAUUUUUAAUCAAGCAACAUAAGAGAUAUACACGUGGAAAAAACAGCAAAGGACCCUGCCAAGCAUAAUGGUCGCUGUCACCAUGAAGCAAGAUUUAAAUUGACUUUUUGACCUGUUUCCUUUGACUUUUUCUUUGUUUUCCAAGUUUGCUGCUGUGUGUGUUACUUUUAAAAUAGAAAAGUUAUUUUUAAACAAGACUAGGUCAGGAAGAAGUUACCAAUAAUAAUGAGAUAUUAAGUAAGUAGAACAUAAAUUAUUUGACAGUCCUUGCUGAACAA